rnacentral:rRNA from 1 species
GAUGAACGCUGGCGGCGUGCCUAAUACAUGCAAGUCGAGCGAACAGACGAGGAGCUUGCUCCUCUGACGUUAGCGGCGGACGGGUGAGUAACACGUGGAUAACCUACCUAUAAGACUGGGAUAACUUCGGGAAACCGGAGCUAAUACCGGAUAAUAUAUUGAACCGCAUGGUUCAAUAGUGAAAGACGGUUUUGCUGUCACUUAUAGAUGGAUCCGCGCCGCAUUAGCUAGUUGGUAAGGUAACGGCUUACCACGGCGACGAUGCGUAGCCGACCUGAGAGGGUGAUCGGCCACACUGGAGCGGGGACACGGUCCAGGCGCCUACGGGAGGCAGCAGUAGGGAAUCUGCCGCAAUGGGCGAAAGCUUGACGGAGCAACGCGGCGUGAGUGAUGAAGAUCUUCGGAUCGUAAAACUCUGUUAUGAGGGAAGAACAAAUGUGUAAGUAACUAUGCACGUCUUGACGGUACCUAAUCAGAAAGCCACGGCUAACUACGUG